CAUAUACUCCCUUCGUCCAGAAAUACUUGUCAUAGAAAUGGAUAUAAAUGAAUGUAUCUAGAAUUAAAAUACAUCUAGAUACAUCCAUUUCUCGAACAAGUAUUUCCGAACGGAGGAAGUAUAUA
rnacentral:pre_miRNA from 1 species